rnacentral:lncRNA from 12 species
AAAAAUAUUCUCUUCAGAUAGAAAGAAGGCACCUGUCCCAGGAAACAUAAUAAACUGGUGGUAUUUCAUCCUGACUCAACCAUCAGCUUGGGUAUGCAAUGUGUCAUCUUAGCAGCUUUUAAGUAAGAACAAAAUUGGCACUGAAAUCCAACUUAUUUCUCUUCUACCCAGGCACUACCUAGAGUCCAUUGAAAAUUGGACUUCACGGUCAACUUGCUCCUUGCUAACAACUGAACAAACAAUUGAGGCAUUUGGCAGGCCAUGAGUGAGAGCCAGAGGUCAUUUUGAGAGGCUACGUUCAGCCCUUCAAUAAAUUUUAGACACAUUGUCCCAUCUGAAGGCAUCCGGGACCAGGGAUCCCUCAGUCAACUGUCAGCCAGCCUCUAGGAGGAGAGCCAACAGGUUGACAUGUACUGGCCAGAGCCCUGUGGCAACCCCGACCAGACCAACAGAACCAGGCAGCAGCACUCACCCUGACUCAAAGUAUGGCAAGCUAAAUAGUCACGGUCACUGCCGUAUCACCAGCAGAUGGGGAAGAAACAGCACAGGCUGGUACCUGGGUCAUGUAAUACUGAGUGCAAAUAAAAAGGUUCCCAGUAUUGUUCUCAAUGGUCGACCUUCUGUAACGUCAUAAACAGAAAAGACUUCAGCAGGUUCACAGAUAAGAUAAAGAUAUACGAAUGAACAAUGGAGGCUGAACAAUGUGAUGAAAUGGGCUAAAAGUGGGUAAUUCACAACUGCCUGCAUAAAAAUUGCCAAUAACACUGAAAAUGUGCUCAACAGUAGAUUGAAACCGUAUCUACCGAAUGAUCUCAAUGAUGAAGACGGACAAUUCCAACUAUUGGUGAAGACGGGACAAGUGGAAUUUUCACACGUUGCUGAGAGUACACCAUUGGGCAACCUCUUUGGAAAACUUGCUGAAUCCUUAUAUACAAGGUCAAAUAUUUAACAUUUAUAUUUUAAUAUAAUAUUAUAUAUUAUAUAUAAUAUAAAUAUUUAAU